rnacentral:lncRNA from 1 species
AGGGUGGCAUAGACGGCGAGCCCAGGGAGGCCACUGACAUGCAUUCAAGAGAAAAGAAAAGAAGCCAGGCUUUGGCAUAAGUGCUUCAUGGUGGAGUGAGAAUGGCUUGCCCUGGAAGGGUCAUGUUUUAGAAGGAGUGAUCUUCAUUGUGAAGUCUAAACUGUUCUGGAAAUAUAAGCUUUGAAACCCAGACACUAAAGUAAAAGAACCAUCAACACAAGUGACAUGUCAUAGCAGGAGCUGACACAGCCUCACCAGCCCAUGCUCGGCCAGACUAGGGAGCAUCGGCCGCUUGUUCCAUCCUGUGCUUGUCUGCCUGCCUCUCUGUCAUGAGACGCAUUCGAAGAGUCCUGGGCCCAAAAGCAACUCACAGUCCAGGAAGACGUCCAGGCCUUGGGUGACGCUCAGUCUCAGUAAAUGGCCCUGGCUGGCAGGUGGUGGUGGGAGGGACCCAGGAAGACAGCAAAUUACUUUACCCUACAAUUAAAGGAUCAGACAGCCAUUUGGAACAGUUGUGCUUACACUGACCACUACCAGCAGCCCAAUCGCUCCUUUCAUCAGAAUGCACAGCUGGCCUUGUGCCACCAAGAUCCCCUGCGGACAAGACCAGAAUUAAAGCAUGUGGAUGAUCCGAACAACACAAGAAUAAGCUAGAAUGUGAAGCAGAGUCAAUCUUAUCAGUUAAUAAAGUCAAGUUGUUGAUUCAGAGAAGAUUGGCCCUGAGAGGAUUUCAGGAGCAGCAGUGUCAUCAGAGCCGAGGCUUCAUUUGUGGUUGUUACCACAAACUCUUGGCUGAACCCAGAGGUGGACAAGAUUUGGGUUAUAGGAAGACUUUGAGGCCAGAGCACAGUGACAUUGGAGGGAGCCGCAACCCUCCCUGGGUUGAAGGAACUAAGGAGGCUCUGGGCCACAGCCUCAGAUGCAGAAACAGCAGCAGCAGCCCCACAGGCUGAGGAACCAAAUCCCUGCUUGAGGCCAAACCCCUGCAA